rnacentral:rRNA from 1 species
AUGUUAUUUUUUGUACAUUGGUAGUUUUUUGAUUGUAUAAUUGGUGUUCCAGAAUAAUCGGCUAUGCAUUUUAAUUUUUAACUCUAAUUUUUGUAAUAUCUUUUUUUUUUUGUUUUUUAUUUCAUUUUUUGUAAAAUAUUUUGAUUUGUUUUUUAUUUAGGGGAUUUUGAAAGUUUGGUUGUUGAACUGGAUUAGUACCCAGGUAGUCAAAAUUUAUUAGUUCGGGAGUAAAGUUGUAUUUAAACCGUAAAAAUAUUGGCUGACUUUAAAUUUUUCUUUGGAAUAUGUGUUUUUUGGAGAGCCCUCCUUUUUAGUGAUAUUUUUUUGGUACAUGUAUGAUUGUUUAGUUUUUAUUUUGUCUGUAGGGCUAUUUUUUUUAGAUUUAAAACAGAUAUAUACUUGGCUUAUGGUUUUAUUAUCAUGUAUUACUAUUUUUAAUUUUUUUUUUUUGGAUAUAAUUUUAAUUUUUUUUUGAAAUUGGAAA